rnacentral:tRNA from 1 species
CGCGAGUAGCUCAGUUGGUAGAGCAUCGGCUUCCCAAGCCGAGGGUCGCGGGUCCGAGUCCCGUCUCGCG